UCUUGGACCAGCCUGUCUUCCUGACGGUUUUGUGUUGGCAUCACAAAAUUCAAGAGCUGGAUGGCAAGACAUCUGGACGAGAGACACGUUGCUGGGAAAACGACUAUGACUGAUUAUAGCCAUCAUAAUAACAGUUCCUGCUUGAUGGACCCACAUGUGCACAGACGUCGGGGCACCUUUAACAAUGCUUAAUAAAGCAAAUGAAUCCCUCUGCAGCCGACACCAAAGGUCUCCCCCUCCCGUGGAGAAGCCCAAGAGCUUAAGGAGCACCCCUGAAGCAGCUGACCCACGCAUCUCCAGGAGGAAAUGCUACGCUUGUCUUCCAGCCAGAAAUUUAUUUCUAAAAGAGUGCUGUAUUGGUGCUGCCAGCUGAGUGAAUUUAACCUUGUGAUUUCUGAGAGAAGCCUGAAGAUGCCUGAAGUUCAGAACUCACCCCCAACCCUCCCAGAGACAAUCAAACAGUUCAGAGGGGAAGCACACGUGGAGGGACUGUGUUUAUCCCUCCCUUCUGAGCCACCUUGGGGCUGUUGUUUCCAUUCAAAUAAGCCCUUCCUCCUCAUUAAAAAAUAAUUUAACACAUGGCUUGGUGUGCCACCGUCUGGUUUAGACCUUAAACAUGUGCAGUACCUUUGAACAUGCAUACAAGCCUAAUGAAAUCAUUUAAUCAAUGGGAUUGCAAACAGGCUUAAAAGUUUGUAUGCUUUGCCUGAUUAGGACUAAGGGAAUGGGCCCUUAAGGAAACCAGAUGGAGAUAUGAUUAGUUUUAUUAAGUGUUGAUCCAGCUGCUGUAUUUAUAUCCCCCUUAUUUAUAUGAACAAUAUUUGUCCAAGCAUCUGAAUACAAAAUAGGAACCUUCAUUUGCUGUAGGCACCAUCGCCACCUAAGUUUGAUUAAAAAGCAAGUAAAAAUGCAGUCGUAACAAUAAAGGAGCACUGGCUGGUGGGACCAGGCGAUAUCACCUGUUUGCUGGUGAAUUAAACAGUAUUUGUUAUCACAAGUGUCACUGCAGAAAUCUGUAUAAUCGGUGCAUAAAGCAGGAAAAAAAUGUCCUUUUUUUUUCUAUUGCAA